rnacentral:tRNA from 1 species
GCCGAAGUGGUGGAACUGGCAGACACGCUAUCUUGAGGGGGUAGUGGCCAACCGGUCGUGCGGGUUCGAGUCCCGCCUUCGGCACCA